rnacentral:ncRNA from 2 species
UGACAAUGGAUGGGAGAGACCGCCAGUAACUAAGAUUUAGGAAUGGGCGGCACCGAAGGAGCAAGCCGUUAUUUCCUGCCGGGAUAACGAGUAAUCUCUCAGGUAAACGUACCGCCAUUUGACG